CGAGGCUUGGAAUCAAGAUGCUGUGGGCCUCGCCAGCGUUGAACUGGUGAUCACGGGGAUCUCCAUACACCAGUCGGUAUAGCCGCGCCACUCUAAAGUAGGCCGCCGGGGGUAGCUCGCCAUCGCCCCGGUGCUCCGAAUUUUAUGUGAGUGGACGCGCCGCACGCCGUGGAGGGGUGAAGCAUGUUGGACUUGCUUCAGAAGGUGCGGAACGCCG
rnacentral:sRNA from 12 species